AGUGAACGCUGGCGGUAGGCCUAACACAUGCAAGUCGAACGGCAGCACAGUAAGAGCUUGCUCUUACGGGUGGCGAGUGGCGGACGGGUGAGGAAUACAUCGGAAUCUACUUUUUCGUGGGGGAUAACGUAGGUAAACUUACGCUAAUACCGCAUACGGCCUACGGGUGAAAGCAGGGGAUCUUCGGACCUUGCGCGAUUGAAUGCGCCGAUGUGGGAUUGGCUAGUUGGCGGGGUAAAGGCCCACCAAGGCGGCGAUCCGUAGCUGGUCUGAGAGGAUGAUAGGCGACAUGGGAGCUGAAACAGGGUCCAGGCUCCUGAGGGAGGCAGCAGUGGGGAAUAUGGGACAAUGGGGGCAAGUCUGGUACAGUCAGACCACGUGGGUGAAAAAGGCGUUCGGGGUGGAAAGACCGUUUGUGGGGAAAGAAAAGCAGCAGGUUAAUACCAAGCUGUUCUGACGGUAACGAAAGAAGAAGCACCGGCUAACUUCGUG
rnacentral:rRNA from 1 species